rnacentral:rRNA from 1 species
UACGUAGGGGGCUAGCGUUGUCCGGAAUCAUUGGGCGUAAAGCGCGCGUAGGCGGCCCGGUAAGUCCGCUGUGAAAGUCAAAGGCUCAACCUUUGAAUGUCAGCGGAUACUGCCAGGCUAGAGUCCGGAAGAGGCGAGUGGAACUCCUGGUGUAGCGGUGGAAUGCGCAGAUAUCAGGAAGAACACCCGUGGCUAAGGCGGUUCUCUAGUACGGUACUGACGCUGAGACGCGAAAGCGUGGGGAGCGAACAGG